GACGAACGCUGGCGGCGUGCUUAACACAUGCAAGUCGAACGGACAGGCCCUGCUCUUGUGGCGUGCUCGAGUGGCGAACGGGUGAGUAACACGUGAGUAACCUGCCCUUGACUUUGGGAUAACUUUAGGAAACUGGGGCUCAUACCGGAUAGGAUCUCCUGCUCCACGGUGGGGGUUGGAAAGUUUCGGCGGUUGGGGAUCGACGCGCGGCUUAUCAGCUUCUUUGUGGGGUAGUGGAUUACCAAGGCUUUGACGGGUAGCCGGCCUUGGAGGGUGACCGGCCACAAUGGGACUGAGGGACGGCGCAGACUCCUACGGGAGGCAGCAGGGGGGAAUAUGGCGGAAUGGGCGGAAGCCAGAUGCAGCAACGCCGCGUGCGUGAUGACGGCUUUCUAGUUGUAAACCGCUUUCUCAUGUAACGAGGCGUGAGUGACGGUAAUUGGUAAAAAAGCACCGGCUAACUACGUG
rnacentral:rRNA from 1 species